CAACUCCCUCCUAUCUGGGCAUGAAGCAGAGCAAAGCCCUGCGGGAGGAGAGGAGCUGCAGCUGCUCAGGUGCAAUGAAGUACAGAGGCACUGUGUGGUGUGCGGAAGAGUUAUGCUCUCACGCGGCGAGGCGCUGUGCAGGUUCCCAGGACCAUGUUGUGCUGUGCACACAGCAGAUGUGAGGCAUUACCCACACAGCACCAGCUGAGCCACAAAGACCAAGGAGGAUGAACAUGGCUUUCCAGCAUCACGAGGCCACCAGCACCUGCGCUGCCCCAGCCAAGCCUGAAAUGCAAAGGGAAAACAAUGCAAAUGGCAAAUACUCCACGGAUUCUGCAGCUUGCUUUGAGUGGCAAUAAUGCCAUCUAACAAAUAAAUUCAUUAACAGCACAGAGUCUGUCCCAGCACCUUGGGUCUGCGUUUGCCAUGCGGGCUCUUGGAUGGCUCCAUGAGCAGUGCAGACAGCUGCGCCCUCAGAGAUGUCGUGGAAACAAAGGCAGCAAAAUAAGAUUUGGAAUUUGCUUUGAAAUUCUGCCUUGGAUCUUCAGGGAAAAAAAAAAAAAAAAAAAAAAAA
ensembl:lncRNA